GAAAUGCGAUAAUUAAUGUGAAUUGCAGAAUUCAGUGAAUCAUCGAGUCUUUGAACGCACAUUGCGCCCCCUGGUAUUCGGGGGGGCAUGCCUGUCCGAGCGUCAUUGCUGCCCUCAAGCACGGCUUGUGUGUUGGGCUUCCGUCCCUGGCAACGGGGACGGGCCCAAAAGGCAGUGGCGGCACCAUGUCUGGUCCUCGAGCGUAUGGGGCUUUGUCACCCGCUCCCGUAGGUCCAGCUGGCAGCUAGCCUCGCAACCAAUCUUUUUAACCAGGUUGACCUCGGAUCAGGUAGGGAUACCCGCUGAACUUAAGC
rnacentral:misc_RNA from 1 species